CAGGUUCGAAUAGUUCGGAUAUUUCGGAUAAUUCGGAUAAUUUGGAUAAAAUAUCGGUUAUUUAAGGUAAAAUAUUAAAUUAGUAGAAUGAUUUAGAUAAAAGAUUUAAAUAUUUCAGAUUACUUUGGAUAUUUCGGAUAAAACUAUUCGGAUAGUUUCGGAUAUUUUCGGGUAGUUUGAAUAUUUUAUAGUAAUUUAGUUAUCUUCAACUAUUUUCAGAUAUUUUUAAUAGAAUUUUAAAUUAAAAGUAUAUAUUUAGCUAUGUUAUAUGUAUAUAUAAUUAAUAUUUUUAUAUAUUGGGAUACCCGUUCGGUUCCGAUUCGGUUUGGUUAUUUCGGAUAUAAAAAUAUAGAAACUAUUCGGAUAUUUGAGGGCAUUGGUCCGGUUCCGAUUUUAGGUAUUUUGGUUCGGUUUCGGUUUGGUUCUUCAGUUCCGGUUAUUUUGCAAGGCCUAAUGGCAACAUACAAUAGGACCAAUCUACUUUACGUUGUUUUAUACGUCGAGAUGGUUAUAACAUAUGCAUUUAUUUUUUAACCUGUACCUAACUGAUGCAGAGAGGAAUGUGUGGUAUGAAUAUAAAGAAUAUGGUUUUGUUACUAUCAACAGCAGUAAAUGCUAUGCAAUGAAGAGUUGAAGAUCCUUAUAAUUUCUGACAUGACUUCAAAGCUAAACGGAUAUCUAUCUUUACUUGGAAGCAACAUAUUCUAGUUCAUGACUUGUUGUAUUAGAUGUAAACAAAGCAACUCCCAUGGAUUUGCAUCCCCAAGAUCCCACCAAAAGACAUGCCCACGACCACGAAGUAUAUAAACCACCCAAGCAUGUGCGUUUACUUUGUAGAACUUUGUAAGCUUCAUAGACAAGUAGUGUCAAACGCCAAACCGGGUGAUUGCCAGUGCCAUGUGAGGAUCUUUAUUAAUCUCCGAACCAGGAGGAGAAUGAAGUACGGGAAUUAAAAAACAAGAAAUACUCUAUAAUUUUUUUUGGUGCUAAAUUAAUACUCUAUAAUUUGUAGUUACAAGGUGGUUUGCCGUUACAAGAUUGCGAUGGAUCUUUAUGAUGGCUCAAGAAUCCACUAUUAACAUGGAAAAGGAUUGCCUAGAGGUUGAAAAUAAAAGUUAUAUCGAUCAACAGAAGUACACUAUGCACGUUGGAACCAGGGAAAACCGAUUACAAAUUAAUAUCGAUAAUAGUAUGAAUUCCUAAGGAGCAAAAAAGGCAAGUUGCUAUCGCCGGUGGCAUGAAGGACUCACUCAACUGUCUUCCUUGGUUCCACCCUUAAUUUCAUUAAGCAGAUAGCUGUACAUGAUUUUCUCUAUUAUAAUAUAAUGGACACUAUAAAUGAACUGUGUAAACUAUAAAACGAGUAUGAGUUUACAAAAAGAAAAAAAAAACUAUAAAACGAGUCAAAGUGAAUUGCCCCACACUACUAUCACUUGAGUAUUCCAAAUAUGAUGUCGUACUGUCAUACACUUUUUCUAAGUUAUGCAGUAUAUCAUAAGUUUCAUACGUACCUAGUUGAUAGAUUUGUGUUAAGUACAAGUCAUUAUAAUUUUUUGUUUCUCUAGAUAAAACAAACUGAAGUUAGGAAAUCACAAAAAGGAGCACUCGAAUACAUUACGUACAGAAGAAAAUUAAAUGAAGAAAAAUUGAAGCUCAAGUAGGUGCAUCGAGUCAGAGAGUCAAUUUUAUCACGCCCAACCAAACAUCUAUUCUUCGUGCUUCAUUGUUUUAAACCACACUCAAUGUGAUUUGUCUCCUAUAUUUGUUUCGAAUGUUAUCAAAAUAAUAAGUCGUAAGGUUUCUAUUUCAGCUUCUUUUUUUAGUACAACGUAAAGAUGAUAUACUGAAUUCAGCUUCUUUUUUUUAGUACAACCUAAAGAUGAUAUUCCAACUAAAAUCCCAAGUUCGCAAGUUAACCAAAGCUAAAAACAAAAUAUACGAACGAUAUAUGUUUGUUUUUAAUAAAAUUAUAUAUCAUAUAGAUUAAACUCUAUAUAGACUCUAAACCUAAAUUUAAGAUUCCCUACAGUCUAUGCAGUUUUUAAACUCUCAACUAGACAAACUAGCUUUGUCAUUCCCUGUUGGUAUCCAACUUUCGUCUGAGUGUUAAUUAGAACAAAAAAGUUCUGAAAAUAUACAAAUUUCGGAUCCAAAAAAUAUCUAAAAGUAUA